UACGUAGGGUCCGGAAGCGUUUGUCCGGAUUUAUUGGGCGUAAAGAGCUCGUAGGCGGUUCCGUAAGUCGGAUGUGAAAACUCAGGGCUCAACCCGGAGACGCCAUCCGAUACUGCGGUGACUGGAGUCUGGUAGGGGACACGGAAUUCCUGGAUGUAGCGGUGAAAUGCGCAGAUAUCAGGAGGAACACCGAUGGCGAAGGCAGUGUUCUGGGCCGAGUACUGACGCUGGAGGAGCGAAAGCGUGGGGAGCAAACAGG
rnacentral:rRNA from 1 species